GUGCACGCUGGCGGUAGGCCUAACACAUGCAAGUCGAACGGCAGCACAGUAAGAGCUUGCUCUUACGGGUGGCGAGUGGCGGACGGGUGAGGAAUACAUCGGAAUCUACUUUUUCGUGGGGGAUAACGUAGGGAAACUUACGCUAAUACCGCAUACGACCUACGGGUGAAAGCAGGGGAUCUUCGGACCUUGCGCGAUUGAAUGAGCCGAUGUCGGAUUAGCUAGUUGGCGGGGUAAAGGCCCACCAAGGCGACGAUCCGUAGCUGGUCUGAGAGGAUGAUCAGCCACACUGGAACUGAGACACGGUCCAGACUCCUACGGGGGGCAGCAGUGGGGAAUAUUGGACAAGGGGCGCAAGCCUGAUCCAGCCAUACCGCGUGGGUGAAGAAGGCCGUCGGGUUGUAAAGCCCUUUUGUUGGGAAAGAAAAGCAGCAGGUUAAUACCCCGCUGUUCUGACGGUACCCAAAGAAUAAGCACCGGCUAACUUCG
rnacentral:rRNA from 1 species